AUGGUCAAGUUACUAAGGGCGCACGGGGGAUGCCUCGGCAUUGAGAGGCGAUGAAGAGCGUGGAAGUCUGCGAAAAGCUUGGGGUAACCGACAAACAGGUGAUGAUCCCGAGAUACUCGAAUUAACGUAUACUGAAUUCAUAGGUAUACGUGGCCAACCCAGGGAAUUGAAACAUCUUAGUACCUGGUGGAAAAGAAAGAAAAAUCGAUUCCGUAAGUAGCGGCGAGCGAAAGCGGAAGAGCCCAAACCGGAGGGGUUUCCUCUCCGGGGUUGUAGGGCCACUCGUAUGGGAGUUACAAAGCGACAACUAGCUGAACAGCUUGGAAAGGCUGACCAUAGACGGUGACAGUCCGGUAAGCGAAAGUUGAGCGCCUCCUGAGUGGUACCUGAGUAGGACCAUGCACGUGAAACGUGGUCUGAAUCUGCGGGGACCAUCCCGCAAGGCUAAAUACUCCUCAAUGACCGAUAGUAAACUAAGUACAGCGAUGGAAAGGUGAGAAGAACCCCUGUUAGGGGAGGUAUGUGAACCUGAAACCGUGCGCUUACAAGCGGUCGGAGCACUAUUUGAAGUGUGACGGCGUGCCUUUUGCAAAAUGAUCCGGCGAGUUAGUGUUUGCAGCGGGUUAAGGCCUUACGGGCUGUAGCCAUAGGGAAACCGAGUCUGAAUAGGGCGUUUAUGUUGCGGGCACUAGGCGCGAAACUGCGUGAUCUACCCAUGGACAGGUUGAAGCGCGGGUUAAACUGCGUGGAGGACCGAACUCAUUUGGGUUGAAAACCGAUGGGAUGAUCUGUGGGGAGGAGUGAAAGUCUAAUCAAACGCAGAGAUAGCUCGUUCUCUCCGAAAUAUUUUGAGGGAUAGCCUCGAGCCACUAUGCAGCGGGGGUAGAGAGACUGAAUCGGACGGGGGCCCUUCCUUGGGUACCUCACCGAACCAAACUCCGAAUACCGUUGUAACUAUCUCGGGAGUCAGUCUGCGGGGGAUAAGCUCCGUGGUCAAGAGGGAAACAACCCAGAUCGUCGGCUAAGGUCCCAAAGUUCUAUUCAGUCACUAAGGAAGUUGAAUCUCGGUGACAGCCAGGAUGUUGGCUUAGAAGCAGCCACCAUUUAAAAAGUGCGUAAUAGCUUACUGGUCGAGAGAUUCUGCGCCGAUAAUGAACGGGAGUAAAUAGAACACCGAAGCCGCGGGAUGCAGCAAUGCAUCGGUAGGAGAGCGCUGAUGGGGAGAUACAAGACGUACCGUAAGGAGCGUUGCCGGCCCCAUCAGGUGAUUAUGCCGGAAUGAGUAACGAUUAAGCAGGUGAGAAUCCUGCUCGCCGAAUACCUAAGGUUUCCUGGGCAAGGUAAAUCCGCCCAGGGUUAGCCGGUACCUUAGUCGAGGCCGAAAGGCGUAGACGAUGGAUGUACGGUUAAUAUUCCGUAGCCAAUUUUGUGAAGCGAUGGAGGGACGGCGUCCGGAGAUUCAGCAGUACGACUAGAAAUGUCUGUUGGCUCUGACGAGGUGCUUGGUAGGCAAAUCCGCCAGGCAUAAGCCAAGACAGAGUCACGAGGGCACUUAAGAUCCCGAAGUGAAUGGAAGGACGUCCAAGAAAAACUUCUAAGCGUUAAAGCAAAGUUGACCGUACUAAAACUGACACAGGUAGGUAAGAAGAGAAUUCUAAGGCGCUCGGGAGAACGGUGGUUAAGGAACUCUGCAAAAUGGCCCUGUAAGUUCGCGAUAAAGGGCGCCUGAUUAAUCAGGCCACAGAAAAUCGGCACCAGCGACUGUUUAUCAAAAACACAGGACUCUGCGAACUCGUAAGAGGAGGUAUAGAGUCUGACGCCUGCCCGGUGCUGGUAGGUUAAGGAAGAGGGUUAGCAGCAAUGCGAAGCUCGCAACCGAAGCCCCAGUAAACGGCGGCCCUAACUAUGAGGGUCCUAAGGUAGCGAAGUUCCUUGUCGGGUAAGUUCCGACCUGCAUGAAAGGCGUAACGACUGGUGCACUGUCUCAACCACCGACCCGGUG
rnacentral:rRNA from 1 species